rnacentral:rRNA from 1 species
UAGGGAAUCUUCGGCAAUGGGGGGAACCCUGACCGAGCAACGCCGCGUGAGUGAAGAAGGUUUUCGGAUCGUAAAGCUCUGUUGUUAAGGAAGAACGAGUGUGAGAAUGGAAAGUUCAUACUGUGACGGUACUUAACCAGAAAGGGACGGCUAACUACGUGCCAGCAGCCGCGGUAAUACGUAGGUCCCGAGCGUUGUCCGGAUUUAUUGGGCGUAAAGCGAGCGCAGGCGGUUAGAUAAGUCUGAAGUGAAAGGCAGUGGCUCAACCAUUGUAGGCUUUGGAAACUGUGUAACUUGAGUGCAGAAGGGGAGAGUGGAAUUCCAUGUGUAGCGGUGAAAUGCGUAGAUAUAUGGAGGAACACCGGUGGCGAAAGCGGCUCUCUGGUCUGUAACUGACGCUGAGGCUCGAAAGCGUGGGGAGCGAACAGG